AGCAGCCGCGGUAAUUCCAGCUCCAAUAGCGUAUAUUAAAGUUGUUGCAGUUAAAAAGCUCGUAGUUGAAUUUCGGGAUUGGCGCAUCGGUCGUGCCUUACGGGGUAUGAACUGGUGCAGUCAAUUUCUCACCUUCUGGAGAACCGCGAUGUCCUUAAUUGGGUGCCGCGGGGAACCAGGACCUUUACUUUGAAAAAAUUAGAGUGUUUAAAGCAGGCAUUUUUGCUUGAAUACAUUAGCAUGGAAUAAUAAAAUAGGACGGCAUGGUUCUAUUUUGUUGGUUUCUAGGACCACCGUAAUGAUUAAUAGGGAUAGUUGGGGGCAUUAGUAUUCAAUUGUCAGAGGUGAAAUUCUUGGAUUUAUUGAAGACUAACUACUGCGAAAGCAUUUGCCAAGGAUGUUUUCAUUAAUCAAGAACGAAAGUUAGGGGAUCGAAGACGAUCAGAUACCGUCGUAGUCUUAACCAUAAACUAUGCCGACUAGGGAUCGGAUGAUGUUAAUUUUAUAAUGACUCAUUCGGCGCCUUACG
rnacentral:rRNA from 1 species